rnacentral:rRNA from 1 species
UAGGUGAACCUGCGGAAGGAUCAUUACAGUAUUCUUUUUGCCAGCGCUUAAUUGCGCGGCGAAAAAACCUUACACACAGUGUUUUUUGUUAUUACAAGAACUUUUGCUUUGGUCUGGACUAGAAAUAGUUUGGGCCAGAGGUUUACUGAACUAAACUUCAAUAUUUAUAUUGAAUUGUUAUUUAUUUAAUUGUCAAUUUGUUGAUUAAAUUCAAAAAAUCUUCAAAACUUUCAACAACGGAUCUCUUGGUUCUCGCAUCGAUGAAGAACGCAGCGAAAUGCGAUAAGUAAUAUGAAUUGCAGAUUUUCGUGAAUCAUCGAAUCUUUGAACGCACAUUGCGCCCUCUGGUAUUCCAGAGGGCAUGCCUGUUUGAGCGUCAUUUCUCUCUCAAACCUUCGGGUUUGGUAUUGAGUGAUACUCUUAGUCGAACUAGGCGUUUGCUUGAAAUGUAUUGGCAUGAGUGGUACUGGAUAGUGCUAUAUGACUUUCAAUGUAUUAGGUUUAUCCAACUCGUUGAAUAGUUUAAUGGUAUAUUUCUCGGUAUUCUAGGCUCGGCCUUACAAUAUAACAAACAAGUUGACCUCAAAUAC